GACGAACGCUGGCGGCGUGGAUUAGGCAUGCAAGUCGAACGGUAUCAUCCUUUCGGGGGUGAGAGAGUGGCGAACUGGUGAGUAACACGUAGGUUAUCUACCCUCAAGACGGGGACAACCCAGGGAAACUUGGGCUAAUACCGGAUGUGAGCAACUUUUAGUUGUUUGAAAGGUGGCGUAAGCUGUCGCUUGGGGAUGAGCCUGCGUCCUAUUAGUUAGUUGGUGAGGUAACGGCUCACCUAGGCAAUGAUAGGUAGGCGGCCUUAACGGGUGGUCGCCUACACUGGGAUUGAGAUACGGCCCAGACUCCUACGGGAGGCAGCAGUCGAGAAUAGUCUACAAUGGUCGGAAGACUGAUAGUGCGACGCCGCGUGAACGAUGAAUCCCUUCGGGGUGUAAAGUUCUUUUAUAUGUGAGCAGUGCUUCUUAUAUUAACAGUAUGGGGAGAGAGAUAUUAGCAUAUGAAUAAGCAACGGCUAACUCCGUGCCAGCAGCCGACGGU
rnacentral:rRNA from 1 species